AUUGAACGCUGGCGGCAGGCUUAACACAUGCAAGUCGAGCGGAGAUGAGGUGCUUGCACCUUAUCUUAGCGGCGGACGGGUGAGUAAUGCUUAGGAAUCUGCCUAUUAGUGGGGGACAACAUUCCGAAAGGAAUGCUAAUACCGCAUACGUCCUACGGGAGAAAGCAGGGGAUCUUCGGACCUUGCGCUAAUAGAUGAGCCUCAGUCGGAUUAGCUAGUUGGUGGGGUAAAGGCCUACCAAGGCGACGAUCUGUAGCGGGUCUGAGAGGAUGAUCCGCCACACUGGGACUGAGCCCCGGCCCGGACUCCUACGGGGGGCAGCAGUGGGGAAUAUUGGACAAUGGGGGAAACCCUGAUCCAGCCAUGCCGCGCGUGUGAAGAAGGCCUUAUGGUUGUAAAGCACUUUAAGCGAGGAGGAGGCUACUGAGACUAAUACUCUUGGAUAGUGGACGUUACUCGCAGAAUAAGCACCGGCUAACUCUGUGCCAGCCGCCGCCGUAA
rnacentral:rRNA from 1 species